ACUAGCAGCGGGCUCUGCAGUGGACCUCGAGGUUUGCUGAGAGCCGUGUUCUUGCGGCGGAGGCAGAAACGAGACGUCUCCGGACGCCCUCCCACGCGGCGGGACCCCGCAAUACCCGGGUCUGGCCUGGACCUCGCCAGGGGAAGGCAUCUGUGUCCUUCAAGGAUGUGACUGUGGAGUUUACCCAGGAGGAGUGGCGGCAGAUGAGCCCUGCUCGGAGGACCCUGUACAGAGAUGUGAUGCUGGAGAACUACAGCCACCUUGUGUCAUUGCAUGAGCCUCCUUUAUCAUGCAACCCUGCCUAGAGUGUGAUCGGUUUUCUGUUUCUGCUUCUUUGAAAACAUCACCUAUUUUGAGGGAAAAUUAACAGAAAGUAAAAUUCGGCAAGUUUUUGUGUAUAAUUCAAUGAAUUUUUAAAAAUGUGUCCAGCUCUACCACCAAAAUCAUGAUGCAAAUGCUUUCUCUCAGGUGAAAAUUUUCCUUAUGCCAUCUUAAUUAGUCCUCUCUUCCCAGCCAUUUUCUUUUUCUAUUCUUUUUUCUCUUUUUUAAUCCCUGUUUUUUGAUAAUCACCAGUCUUCUCCCCAGGUCAAUACUUUUCUCCUUCUUUGAAAUUUCAUAUAGAUAGAAACAGACUUCAUGUGCUCUUUUUUCCUGUGGCUUCUUUCCCUUAGUGUAAUUCUUUUAAGAUUCAUGGAUAUUAUUGUGUGUAUUAGCAUUUAUUCCUUUUAUCAAUGAGUAAUGUUCGUUCUAUGUCAUGUCUUUCCAGUUGCUGAUAAGACAUUGGACUCCUUUUCCCUAUGGUGCUUUUAUAAGUAAAGGUGCCAUGAAUAUUUCAGUCCAAGUCUUUGUAUAUCUGUAUUUUCAUUCUUUUGCAUAAAGACCUUAGAGGUGGUUUCCUGGGUCUCUUGGCAAGUAUUUAUAGGAAUAGCUCAUCUUAUUGUGUUUUACUUUUUCCCCCCGCCCCCCAGCUGUUUAUUUAUUUAUUUAUUUUAAAUAGAAGGGUCGUGGCAACCCCUUGUGUCAACCACGUCUAUUGCUGUCAGUUUUCCAACAGCAUUUGCUUGCUUUAUGGCUCUGUGUCAUGUCUUGGUAAUUCUCACUACAUUUCAUACUCUUUCAUUGUUGUAUUUGUUGUGGUGAUCUGUGAUCUUUAAUGUUGCAUUGUAAUUGUUUGUGGGCACCGUGCAAUGUGCCUAUGGAGGAUGGCAAACUUAAUUGAUAAAUGUUGUCUGUGUUCAGACUGCUCCACUGACUGGCCAUUCCCUCAUCUCUGCCUCUCUCUUCAGGCCUCAGUAUUCCCUGAGACACAGUAACACUGACUGUAGGUCAAGUAAUAACAACACAAUGGCCUGUAAAUGUUUGAGUCAAGGAAGAAUUGCAUGUCACUUACUUUAAAUUAAAAGCUAUAAAUUAUCCAUGAAGAAGGCAUGUUGAAAGCCAAGACUGGCCAAAAGCUAGGCCACUUACACCAAACAGUUAGCCAAGUGGUGAAUGUGAAGGAAGAGUUCUUAGAGGCAAGUCAAAGGGCUAACUCCGGUGGACACAUGAAUGAUUAGAAAGUGAAGCAACUGGUGUCCUGGGUAGGUCAAACCAGCCACAACCGUCCCUUAAGCGAAAGCCUAGUCCAGGGCAAGGCUAUAACUCUUCAAUUCUGUGAAGGCUGAGAGAGAUGAGGGGCCUAGAGUAGAAGUGCUUGAAUAUACUGUAGUUUGGUUCAUGAUGGUGAGAGGAAGGUUUUUAUCUCUAAGAGGAAUGUGCAAGGGGGAGCAGCAAGUGCUGAUAGAAAAGCUGCAGCAGGUUAUUCAGAAGAUCUAGUUAAGAUGAUUCAUGAAGGUGGUUCUAACUACAUGACAAAUUUCAGUAUAGAUUAAAUACUCUUCUGUUAGAGGAAGAUGCCAUUUAGGACUUUCAUAGGAAGAAAGGAGAUGUCAGUGCUUGGCUUCAAAGCUUCCAAGGACAGACUGACCGUCUGGUGAGGGGCUGAUGCAGCUGGUGACUUUAAGUUGAAGCCACUGCUCGUUUACUAUUUUAGAAAUACUAGUGCCCUUAGGAAUUACGCUGAGUCUAUUUUGCCUGUGCUCUAGAAAUGGAACAGCAAAGACUGGGUGACAGCACAUUUGCUGACAACAUGGUUUACUGAGUAUUUUAAGCCUCCUGACCUACUGCUCAGACAAAAGGUUCCUUUGAAAAUAUGUUCAUUAACAAUGCCCUUGGUAUCUCAAGAGCUCUGCUGGCAAUGUACAGUGGGUUUCGUAUUGUUCUUGUGCUUGCUAAUACAACAUCCAUUCUGCAGCCCUUAUGUCAAGGAGUUGUUUUAACUGUCAAGUCUUAGUAAUUAAGAAAUACAUUUUGUAAAGCUAUGGCUACCAUAGAAAGUGAUUCCUCUGUGGAUCUGGACAAAGUCAAUUGAGAGCCUUCUGGAAAGGGUUGACCAUUCUAUAUGCCAUAAGGGCUUUAGUGAUUGCUGGGGAGAGCUCACAGUAUUAGUAUUAUGAGUUUGGAAGAAGUUGAUUCUCAUCCUUAUGGAUGCCUUUGAGGGGUUCUAAACUUCAGUGUAGUAAGUAACUGCAGAUAUAGUAGAAGAAACAGAGAACUACAAGUAAAAUCACAAGAUGUGACUCAGUUGCUUCAAUCCCAUGAUAAAAAUUUAAUGGAUGAGGAGUUGCUUCUUGAAGGAGCAAAGAAAGUUUUUUGAGAUGGAAUUCUUCCUGGUGAAGCCUCCAUUAAGAUCCUUCACAUUACAACAAAGGAUUUAGAAUAUAACACACAUUUAGUUAAUAAAGUAGUGGCAGGGUUUGAGAGGACAGACUCUAGUGUGUAAAGAGGUUGACAGUUGUUAAAAUGCUAUCAACUAGCUUUGCAUUUUAUGGAGAAAUCAUGAAAGGAAGAGUCCAUUGAUGUGAUGAACUUGUCUUCUUUUAAGAAAUUGCCACAAUCACCCCAUCCUUAGUAACCAUCACUGUUGUUAGUCAGCAGUCAUCAACGCUGAGGCAAGACCCUCCACCAGCAAGAAGAUGAUCAGGCAUGGAAGGCUUAGAUAAUGGUUACCAUUUAUUAGCAAUAAAGUGUUUUUUUUUUUUUUCCUUAGUCCACACCUCCAGCAUAUGGAAGUUCUUUAGCCACAGAUUGAACCCAUGCCUCAGUUGUGAACCACAGCUCCACACCCCCCUUAGGCUGUCUUCACACAAUCAACCCUCGUUCUUUCCCUGGAACUGACCUCUGAAGCCUGGGCCUCAGCAUUUAGCUUCCUGAUGAUUGUCUCAGGCUGUGGUGUCUGUGGUACCCUUGGUCUGUGUGGCUCUCUCUCUGCUUUGCCCCCUUAAGUCUGCAGGGUGGGGAUGCCUUUGAAUAAUAUCUUGUAACUUCAACUAUGUAAUGAGGAUAUUAGAACAGAAUAUUUCCAUUUUCUGACUUUCAUCAUUUGUGUUAUUGUUAUUCAUUUUACUUCUACAUAUCUUAUAAUUCUCUGUAAUUACAUUGUUAUCAUGUAAUGGUAUUUCUACUUUAGUAGCUUUUUUAAAUGAGGAAAGUGUGCUUUAUUUACAUAUUGUCCAUUUACUGUUCUCUUUAUUUCUUUGUGUAGAUUCACAUUUACACUUUUUUUAAAAUAUAAAUGUCUUUUUUAAACUUUACUUUUUUUCUUUUUUCUUUUUAAGGCCAUAAAUGCAGCAUAUGGUAGUUCCCAGGCUAGGUAGGGGUUGAAAUGGAGCUGCAGCUGUUGGCCUACACCACAGACACAGCAAUGCAGGAUCCAAGCCAUGUUUGCUACGCAUACCACAGCUCAUGGCAACACUGGAUACUUAACCCACUGAUCGAGGCCAGGGAUCUAACCUGAGUCCUCAUGGAUACUCUUUGGAUUUAUUAUUGCUGAGCCACAAUGGGAACUCCCUAACUUUUCUUUUCUUUCUUUCUUUUUUUUUUUUUUUUGAACUGCACCCUCAGCAUAUGGAAGUUCCCAGGCUAGGGGUUGAAUUGGAGCUACAGCUGCUGGCCUACGACACAGCCAUAGCAAUGUGAGAUCCAAGUUGCAUCUGUAACCUACAUCAUAGCCCACGGCAACACCAGAUCCUUAACUCACUGAGUGAGGCCAAGGAUUGAACCUGCGUCUUCAUGGAUACUAGUCAGGUUCGUUAACCGCUGAACCACACCGGGAACUCCAACUUUUCUUUUAUAUCAGGUAAUCUGGCCAAUGAAUUUUACUUUUUUAUUUGCCUUACAAAGUCAUUAUAUAUGGAGUUCCCGUCGUGGCGCAGUGGUUAACGAAUCCGACUAGGAACCAUGAGGUUGUGGGUUCGGUCCCUGCCCUUGCUCAGUGGGUUAACGAUCCGGCGUUGCCGUGAGCUGUGGUGUAGGUUGCAGACGCGGCUCGGAUCCUGAGUUGCUGUGGCUCUGGCGUAGGCUGGUGGCUACAGCUCUGAUUCGACCCCUAGCCUGGGAACCUCCAUGUGCCGUGGGAGCGGCCCAAAGAAAUAGCAAAAAGACAAAAAUAAAUAAAUAAAUAAAUAAAUAAACAAAGUCAUUAUAUAUAUUUUGUUUGUUUGUUUUGUCCUUUUGCCUUUUCUAGGGCUGCUCCCACAGCAUAUGGAGGUUCCCAGGCUACGCCAGAGCCACAGCAACUCGGGAUCGAGCCAUGUCUUGACUUACACUACAGCUCAUGGCAACGCCGGAUCCUUAACCCACUGAACAAGGCCAGGAAUCGAAGCCACAACCUCAUUGUUCCUAGUUGGAUUCGUUAACCACUGCGCCACGAAGGGAACUCCUGAGUCAUUAUAUUUUUAGAUAAAUACUAACACUCACUUCUGUUGGAGUUCACUCAGGAUUCUAAAUAACUGGUUUGUGCAAAGAAGAGGAGCCUUAGUUAAUAUUGGGGCAGUUGACAGUACAUAAUUUUAAAAUCUGUAUUUAGGUGAGAAAGCUAUUAAGGUGAAUGAUAUACAGAAUUUAUAGGUUAAGCAUGAACAGUUUAUGUUUGGGCAUAGUAACCUUUUUUUUCCUUUAAAGCUGCUCUUUUGAAUAAAUCAAAGGGAAUAGCCAUGUCUGCUAUUCCAAUAUAAAACAGUUUUGAAGCAUCUUGGAAAUGGUUAGACUUUUGUAUCAUCUUAGAAAUGGGGUCUACCCAGAACUACAACUUAAUAACCACUACAUUAAUAAAGUGCUAAACUGGGUGGGUGCCCACUGAAAUUUCUGAGGAAUUCCUGAAGGCACUGAAUAUGGCAGGUCUGUUAAGAGCACAUGGUGCUUUGACCUGGUAGUCCCGUGACCAUUUCAGAGUGCUUUUGAGGUCAAACCUUGUCAUAAUAACAGCCUUCUCAAAGAGACAGUUUAUUUUCCAAAUAACUACAUAACUGGAACGUAAUGGACUGAAUAGAAUAUGGAAAGACAUGCUCACCUAGCUAUCUUAUUAAAAAGAUCUGUGUUGGUUUUUAUUUCUAAUGUUACUAUUGGUAAUCCUUAGAGCAAAACCAUUGAGCAUCUUUUAGAGUCCCACCCUGCCCCAGGUAGUAUUUUGUCCUGCCUUGACUUCCAGAUUUGGACUCUUUUUUUUGUAACUUUGUGUUCUUACCAUGAUUGUGUUUCCUCUAUCUUCUUUAACACGUGGAAUGUAUUAUAAUAGCAGUUUUAAUGUCCUUGGAGGCUAAUUUAAUGCCAGGUUACAGUUCUUUCUCUGUCCCAUUGAUUGACUAAUCUCCUGGUCAUCUUUCAUGUUUUUCUUCUUUUCAUACUUGGUCAUUUUUGAUAGUGUGCUACAUACUGUGAAAUUUAUAUUGUUGGCUGCUCGAUUUUCUAAUUUUUGUUUACAUACUCUUGGGGCAUUUUGGGGAGUAUAGGAAAUGUCUUGGGAUCAUUUCAGUACUUUCAGUGCUUACUUGUAAUUUAAGUAAACAAACCAGAUUCAGUCUUAACUUGGAGUAGAAUUCACACUUCUUUUAUGCUAAAAGAAAAGGGGAAGUAGGAGGGUUCAAGAUUAAAGGCAGACUGCAGACUCCUUGGAGCUACCUGGUCUUCAGGGAAACCAUGAUAUUUCCUUGUUUUUCUGCUUGCUCCUGUGGGCUGGAUCACAAGACUCCUAUAAAACUUCAACUUGCUAGCAGUUAUUUUUACUUUAUCAUCCUUAUCUCUGCUUACUUGCAAGGUGUCUUGGCUGAAAGGGAACUUAUCUACAGCCAGUAGUAGCCAUAACUGACCUAGAAUUGUGGGAUGGAAACUUUCUUCAGGGAAUUUUUUUUUUUUUUUUUGUCUUUUUGCUAUUUCUUUGGGCCGCUCCCGUGGCAUAUGGAGGUUCCCAGGCUAGGGGUCGAAUUGGAGCUGUAGCCACCGGCCUAAGCCACAGCCACAGCAACGCGGGAUCCGAGCUGCGUCUGCAACCUACACCACAGCCCACGGCAAUGCCGGAUCGUUAACCCACUGAUCAAGGGCAGGGACCGAACCUGCAACCUCAUCGUUCCUAGUCGGAUUCAUUAACCACUGCACCACGACGGGAACUCCCUCUUCAGGGAAUUUAAUGAGCUAUUUGGGUGCAAGCAACAUUUCUCUAAUGUUUAACUCUUGACUACAGGACUAAAAUAAUAGAAUGCAUAGGCUGAAAAAUAGGGAAGGUAGUUUUAACAUGGGACUAGUUCUGUCUUCCUCUGUUACAUUGCCAGAUUCCAAAGGGCAAAUUGUGACCCAUUUGUCAGGCAAUUCAGUGCAAAUAACUUUAUUUUUAAUGCAAUAGAGUAAAGAAAAAAGAGACAAUAUCCCAAUAUAUUAUUCCUAAAGAAUAUUGCUUCUAAAGUUUUUAUUUCUUGUGUGUGUGCACGCAUUUGUGUCAGUUUCAGGGGUAAAUAUACUGAGCAUGAUAUAAAAUGUACUUCUCACUGUGCAUCACAUUCAAAAAUGUUUGAAAGCUCAUGUUCUAUUUGGUAGCUUGAAGGGAUAAUUUUUUAGAUAAA
rnacentral:lncRNA from 1 species